rnacentral:rRNA from 1 species
GACGAACGCUGGCGGCGUGCCUAAUACAUGCAAGUCGAACGCAGUGGGGACGGGUGAGUAACACGUGGGUAACCUCCCAUCAGAGGGGAUAACACUUGGAAACAGGUGCUAAACCGAUCUUGAUGGAUGGACCCGCGGUGCCUUAGCUAGUUGGUGAGGUAACGGAUCACCAAGGCCACGAUGCAUAGCCGACCUGAGAGGGUGAUCGGCCACACUGGGACUGAGAAACGGCCCAGACUCCUGCGGGAGGCAGCAGUGGGGAAUAUUGCACAAUGGGCGCAAGCCUGAUGCAGCCAUGCAGCGUGUAUGAAGAAGGCCUGCGGGUUGUAAAGUACUUUCAGCGGGGAGGCGUUACCCGCAGAAGAAGCACCGGCUAACUCCGUGCCAGCAGACGCGGUAAUAC